CGUACGGACUUGAAAAUCCGUUGGCUUUAUUGACCGUGAGGGUUCAAGUCCCUCUACCCCCA
rnacentral:tRNA from 1 species